GUAUGUUUUCUGGAUGUCCUAGGUGCUGAGCCUUUGAAGCUAUUAGCACAAAAAUCCCAGACAACCUUUUUCAACUUACAUCAGAUAGAUAGUAGAUCAGUCUUUUAAUUCAUGUACAGCUGAGAGAAGAUAGAAUAGUGCUGCAAGGAACAUAAUGACAAUGGCUGCAUACUGCUACGUCAACCAAGAAAAGUUGGAUUGAGUCUGCUGUAGUGAUGGAAACCACAAUGCUGCCCUCUGAGGAUGCUCUGGGAAGUCCUUGAGGCUGCAGUCUCCUCUCUGUGUUUGCUACUGGUUCUUGUUACACUUCUGUCAGGUGUUACACUGAAGAUCUGCUGAAGUGGAGGCUUAAGCAGGCCAAGGAGGUUGGAACCUCACAGCCUAUGAGAUGUGCAGCCAGGAAGCCAAAGAUUCUAAAAGUAAGUAUGUUUUUGCCUUAAGCUAUAAGCCGUUUUCUGUUAUGCAGAUCUAGC
rnacentral:lncRNA from 1 species